ACAGCUUGGACAAAAGUCUAUAGCCAGUGCAUUCCUAGCUCCCCUUACACUAAAGCAGGCUGAGGCAGAGGGGAAGACAUGUUAGUCUUGUGCUCUUCUAGUUGCUAAAGCGCAGAGCUGCCGGGCUGUGGGAGUCAUGAGGCGGCCCUGCUUCACUCAGUAUGGGCUCAGGGGGAGACCACCAUGGAUGUGUCUGCAGGUCUAGGCCCUAAGAGCAGUGCG
rfam:Salmo salar isolate Sally breed double haploid chromosome ssa10, whole genome shotgun sequence.